GAUGAACGCUGGCGGCGUGCUUAACACAUGCAAGUCGAACGGAAAGGCCCAAGCUUGCUUGGGUGCUCGAGUGGCGAACGGGUGAGUAACACGUGGGUGAUCUGCCCUGCACUUUGGGAUAAGCCUGGGAGACUGGGUCUAAUACCGGAUAGGACCAUCGUUUAGUGUCGGUGGUGGAAAGUUUUUCGGUGUGGGAUGAGCUCGCGGCCUAUCAGCUUGUUGGUGGGGUAAUGGCCUACCAAGGCGUCGACGGGUAGCCGGCCUGAGAGGGUGUACGGCCACAUUGGGACUGAGAUACGGCCCAGACUCCUACGGGAGGCAGCAGGGGGGAAUAUUGAACAAUGGGCGCAAGCCUGAUGCAGCGACGCCGCGGGGGGGAUGACGGCCUUCGGGUUGUAAACUCCUUUCGCCAAGGACGAAGCGUUUUGUGACGGUACUUGGAGAAGAAGCACCGGCUAACUACGUG
rnacentral:rRNA from 1 species